rnacentral:tRNA from 1 species
GGUCGAAUGGUGUAGUGGUUAUCACGUUCGCCUCACAUGUAUUCAUACAGUGCUCGCGAAAGGUCGGGGGUUCAAGCCCCCCUUCGACCU